UACGAAGGGGGCUAGCGUUGCUCGGAUUGACUGGGCGUAAAGGGCGCGUAGGCGGUUCGUACAGUCAGACGUGAAAUUCCUGGGCUCAACCUGGGGGCUGCGUUUGAUACGUGCGGACUUGAGUGCGGAAGAGGGUCGUGGAAUUCCCAGUGUAGAGGUGAAAUUCGUAGAUAUUGGGAAGAACACCGGUGGCGAAGGCGGCGACCUGGUCCGAUACUGACGCUCAGGCACGAAAGCGUGGGGAGCAAACAGG
rnacentral:rRNA from 1 species